rnacentral:misc_RNA from 3 species
AACGCACCUUGCACUCUUUGGUAUUCCGAAGAGUAUGUCUGUUUGAGUGUCAUGAAACUCUCAACCCCCUCAUUUUGUAAUGAAACGAGCGUGGGCUUGGAUUGUGGCUGUCUGUCGGCGUAAAUGCCGGCUCAGCUGAAAUUGACGAGCAACCCAGUUUGAAUACCAGACGGCUUGACUCGGCGUAAUAACUAUUUCGCUGAGGACGUCUACCUUUCAAAUCGUUAGUGGUGCUUCUAAUGCAUUUUUAAUAACUUAAGCUUUAGACCUCAAAUCAGUCAGGACUACCCGCUGAACUUAA